UAAGCAGAAGCCAUUUUUGGCAUCUAACUGUUAAUUAGAAGCUAGUCUUCCAGACCUGCUUAG
rnacentral:tRNA from 1 species